GUAUUGCAUGAAAGGAGAGAAGGUUAGCACUCCCCUUGACAAGGAUGGAAGAGGCU
rnacentral:snRNA from 1 species